rnacentral:rRNA from 1 species
UGCGUAGGCGGAUUUAUAAGUCAGUGGUGAAAUCCUACAGCUUAACUGUAGAACUGCCAUUGAUACUGUAGAUCUUGAGUACGGUUGAGGUGGGCGGAAUGUGUCAUGUAGCGGUGAAAUGCUUAGAUACGACACAGAACACCAAUUGCGAAGGCAGCUCGCUAAACCGUAACUGACGCUGAGGCACGAAAGCGUGGGGAGCGAACAGGAUUAGAUACCCUGGUAGUCC